rnacentral:rRNA from 1 species
CUGGCUCGGGAUGAACGCUAGCUACAGGCUUAACACAUGCAAGUCGAGGGGCAGCAUGUGGUGCUUGCAACCAAUGAUGGCGACCGGCGCACGGGUGAGUAACGCGUAUCCAACCUUCCCUAUAGUAGAGGAUAGCCCGGCGAAAGUCGGAUUAAUACUCUAUGUUUUCCAAUGCAGACAUCUAAAAUGGAACAAAGGUUCACCGCUAUAGGAUGGGGAUGCGUCUGAUUAGAUAGUCGGCGGGGUAACGGCCCACCGAGUCGACGAUCAGUAGGGGUUCUGAGAGGAAGGUCCCCCACAUUGGAACUGAGACACGGUCCAAACUCCUACGGGAGGCAGCAGUGAGGAAUAUUGGUCAAUGGGCGAGAGCCUGAACCAGCCAAGUAGCCGUGCAGGAUGACGGCCCUAUGGGUUGUAAACUGCUUUUAUACAGGGAUAAAGUGACGUACGUGUACGUUUUUGUAGGUACUGUAUGAAUAAGGACCGGCUAAUCCCGUGCCAGCCGCUGC